rnacentral:lncRNA from 1 species
GGCUCCGGGCUCUCUUUAGGCCUGGGAAGAGCUGCCAGCUUCAGGGCGAGUCUGAGCAACAGAGUUCCUCAAGUGCACAGCCACUGGCUUGGUCCGGGGACCCAGCACCUCUCAGAUCUGCCCUGGCCCUGGCUUGGCUGACUUCCACGUGGCUUGUGUGGAUGGAGGGUCCAGGCAGCCCCCCAAACCAGGUCCUCAGGGAGGGGGACGGGCACUGGCCACUUUAGCUUCUUUGUGACAUGCCUGCGCCUCCACAUGCUCAGUGUAAGCUCCUGUCCACUGGAAACAACACGGCAAGCUGUCACUCGGGAGACAGAUCAGGGCUGGCAGGAGGCUCACUCAGCACAGAUGGCCCUGCACACCCACCCCGGGCAGCCCGGGAGGAAGAACUGAGAUCAGGACCCGGGGACCAGGUCUUCCCAAGGGACCAGCAGAUGCCGGCCUUGUGUCCUGGUGCCCACUCACCUAAACUGCCGGACUCCCUCUGCCCUUUUUCUCUUUCCAUUAGAUUUGUAUUUCUAGGAUCCACAGCACUUUUCUCAAAAGUGAACUUUAAAAUUCUUUAAAGCUUUAUUUCUUUUUAAUGGUGUCCAAUAUGUUGACAGGAAACACGGGCAUGUUGUUAACUAAGUGGGGUCCAGUGUGGUACACGAGUCACCUGACACGCCGUGUGUGUGUCCAUUGCUGAGCACCCCGAAAAUCACUCUUAGCCCUUUUCAGGAACGUGGCGUGCUGCUUCUCACUAGCGCCAGGGUGGGUAAGGGGGCUCCGGAAGCCCCUGCUGUCCUCACCCAGCAUCUCAUCCUCCCAGCACCCUCCUCCCAGAAGGGCCCAGCUCUGGAGUUCCACUUCUCAGGACUUCGAGGAUACAAGUUCGAGUCCAGCCACUGUGCGCUGUGUCCAGCCGGGCAAUGAGAUUUCGUUCUCUGUGUGUCCCAGGACAAAGACCCCCAGGACGUCACUGCCUGUCCCGUCCUGCUUGGAGGUGAAUAGCAGUUCUGCUGCGAGAGCUUUUGAGGAACCUGCACACUGUUUUCCAGCGGCUGGACUAACCACUCUACCACCAGUGCCCAAGUCCUCACAAAGGGAGACUGCCCAGGGCCAAGGGCAGGGACUUCGCUCCUGAACUGGACCAGUCGCUUUGUUUCCUAUCUGCCCUGACGCAGGACCAGGCACCAGGACUGGAAGCCAGAUGCCCCUGGGUCAGAGUCACCAGCUCCACCCUGUUCUGUCCGCACACCCAGGGCUGGAGGAAAUCUCGCCAACACCCAGGGCUCUCGAGGCCGGGGGUCCCCCAGACGCUGGCCUUGUGUCCUGGUGCCCACUCAGCAGCAUGCCCUGUGGGAGAGUCACUCAACACUGCGCUGCAGUUCCGCACUGCAGCCGGGCCACGUCUUGUACAAUUGUGAAGGGGACAGGAAGUGAGGACAGUGGAGCUGUGACUGUCACUGACGGCCAGGAGCCUCUGGGUGCCCUACUCACCUGGGACACUGAGCGGUGGCCUGGCCCCUCCUGAGGCUCUGGGGCUAGGGAUGGCUUUGGGAACCAGAGCAGGGGUCACACGGGCCCCGGGGGAUCUCAAGAGGCUCUCCUGGGCCAGGACUGGAGCAGAGGGUGGGCCACAUCCUCAGCCUCAUGUCGGUGUCCAUGAGCCCACUCAAGACGCCAUCUGGGAAAGCGGAUGUGCUUGGGACAGACUCAUGGGCGGCUGUCAGAACUGCGCUGUGCGUAUGAUGCGGGUGUUUGGGGUCUGUAAGCUGUUCUAAAUCUAAGCAUGGAAAAUGUCAAGUCAUCUCACUAUUUAGCUUGGGAAAAAAGAUUUAGAUUUAUGGGUGGGUGUUUGAAGAACUUCUGUUUCAUUUCAGAUCCCGGCAGCCCCCUCAAAAGCCACAGCUGAACUAAAAGCCACUUCCCGAGUUGCUUUCUGCACUGGUCCUGGAAAGGCCACCCCCAAAUCCCCAGCGGGAGCCAAGACACGCCGUGCCUGAGGGGGGCUCUUGAGGCACCAGUGGCUGCUGGAGCCCCCAGUGCUCCACGAUGGCCCCAGCCUCCCAAGCUCAGCUCCGCAUCCCCAGUCCAAGCGUGUGCUCCCCCAGACCAGGCUGCUGUGUUCUCUGGACCUGGACCUCGGCCUGGGCCAGUGGCAGCUGCUGCAGAGCAGCUCCACCCACAGGGACCUCGGGACUCAGAGCUGAGGCCCAGGGACAGUGCCGGGCUCUGACGGCCCAGGUCACCCUCAGAUUUCCCAACUGCAGCUGAAGAAGGAGCCAGGUAGAAGCUUCUCCUGUUUUCCUAGGGAGCCACCUUGGAUAGCACUUCCUCACAGAAGGCCUGCUGAGACACCUCCGUGACCAUGGGGAACCCAUAAAAAGGCAGCAGGAUGCCACUUUGUAUCCAUCCCCGACCCGGGUCAGCUGCACCCUGCCUGGUGCAGGUAGGAAGUCGAGCCUGCUGUUCUGUGAGCAGAGCCCAGACGUGCGCCAGGCAGUGGUGUCGUCCUGCCCAGGUGUCCUUGUAUGGACCACAAUCCCCACCCCCAGGCCCCCAGCCAUAGGUCCACAGCUGCCCCGGAUUGACUGCAAGGCGGCAGUCCCUCCUCUCUGCUUUCAUUCUGCACACAUCACUCCGGAGUGCUGUUGUUUGCUUCACUUCUGUCUGCAGAGCCCGAGUGAAUCAGACCUCACGCCAGCCUCAGCCAAGCUGCGUCCUUGGAGCCAGGGCAGCGACAUCCCCUAUCCCAAAACGUGAAAUCAAGGCAGGAGUUGGAUGCACACCUGUGAUCCCAGCACUCGGAGGCUGAGACAGGAGGAUCACCAUGAGUUCAGGGCCAUCCCGGGCUACACAGUGAGUCCAAGGCCAGCCUGAACUGCACAGCGAGACCCUGUCUCAAACAAACAAACAACCAAAUAGGGCCGGGGAUUUGGCUCAGUGGUUCCACCACUUGUCCCGAAAGGACCCGAGUUCAAUCCUGGUACAAAAAACAAAACCAAACCAAACAAACAAAAACCAAAUAGCUGAAAUCCAAAAAGCUCCAAAACUGAAAAGCUCUGGGCACCGCCUGAUGCCAUACAGAGCUCCACCCUCCCUCAGGGGCAGGUGGCAUCAGAAUGUGGCACUAAAUGAUGAAUAACUGACCUUCAGGCUGUGAGCAUCAGGUAUGUCUGAAACACAAGAGACUGUUUCGGGGUCCCAGCCCCAGCACGUCCCAUCUCAUUUCCAACAUCUGGAAGCCUCUGGACUGCCGCUCUGUUCGCAGGCACUUCAGAGAAGGGACGUGGGCCCUGUGUGCAGAGAGAACACAGGAGGAAGGGAGAGCCCAGCAGGGACGAAACCAUGCAGGCGACGGCAGCGGACAGCACUUCCUGCACCCCACAUGGGAGGACUUCGAGGCCAGGGCGAAUGCCACGCCAGAGUCCGUGGGACCCAAGCAUCUGCAGGUGUUGGGCUUCCAGGGUCCAGGUCCUCUGGGAAGGGCGGGCUGCAGCUGCCUCCCCACUUGUUAGUGUCUGCGAGGAGCCCCAGGUGGCCUUGCCUUCUUGAUUCCAGCUCGUGAUGAGGACACGUGGAUCGGAUCGAGGUGACUCAGACCACUCUGGGCGGGCAGCACUCAUGCCCUUAAUCCUAGUGCCCUCGGGCCCCAGCCCCACGGAGCAUCAAUCACACACUGCAGAUCCAGCCACCUCCGAAAUAGCCCGAGACCACAUGAGGCUUUGGGGGACUCGAGACACAGCCGUCACAGGUGGAAUGCUUUGCUGCCUUCAGUCGGAGAACAGUGCCUUCCGUCGUGAAAUCACAUCAUGAAAUGAUUUUGCUGUGGGGAAGACAGAAUCAGGCGAGUGCUCGAACCACAGGCCUCCCUCAGACGCAGAGCGGUGUAGCUGGGCCUCCUCACCCCGGGGAGCUGCAGAAGAACUCAGUCUGCUCUUCUCCUAUUGGUGUGGAAUGGGACUGUCUGGGCCACAGGUUGCCUGGCUGGGCCAGGUCUCUUUACUGCUCACUUGUGUUUGUUUGAAGUAGGGUCUCGCUAUGUAGCCCGGGCUGGCCGAGGACUCGAGCAAUCCUCUGGCCUCAGCCUCAGGGCUGGCACCACAGUCGUGGCCCUGGGGUCUCCUUCCUGGGCACAUCCUCUCUAACCCACCCUCGGGCUGGGCUUCCGCUCUCAGCUGUGUGCUGCGUGUGGUCUUUUCACUCCAGAGAUGGGCCGUGACUUUAGGCACCGUGGAGAAAGAAACAGGCUGCCCGUGGAUCCUUGGUGUCACGGUGCAAACACCCUGAGAUGUUCACAGUGAAAAACAGAACCUGAAAUCCGUGCAGAGGCUGCACAAAAUACAAAUAGGACACUACAUGGUUUCGCUUCGCUUUUCUUGUUAAUGCUGCAUCCUGAACAGCGUUUGUGUCGCUCUUUGUUCCCUAAAUCUGCCGGCCACCAGGUCGGGCACAGAUCCGCGUUUGCCUCUCCGAGCUCCCAUGAGCACCUGCAAGUCCAUGCCGGCUGGGUGAGACAACUCCACUUGCCGUCAUGUGGACAUGACUCAGUUCUUUCCGGGCACGCGUUUAGCUACAGUAAACGUCUUCGUUUACAUUUAAUGCUAUUGCUCUUUUAUUCUAACGUGAAAAAAUGUGCAUACUGAGAAAUAAACCAACCCACAGCACC